rnacentral:rRNA from 1 species
UACGUAGGGUGCAAGCGUUAAUCGGAAUUACUGGGCGUAAAGCGUGCGCAGGCGGUUGUGUAAGACAGGUGUGAAAUCCCCGGGCUUAACCUGGGAACUGCAUUUGUGACUGCACGGCUAGAGUGUGUCAGAGGGGGGUGGAAUUCCACGUGUGAGCAGUGAAAUGCGUAGAUAUGUGGAGGAACACCAAUGGCGAAGGCAGCCCCCUGGGAUAACACUGACGCCUCAUGCACGAAAGCGUGGGGAGCAAACAGG